CAUUGAGUGAGACAACUACAUUUGGGCAGAGGCAGGGUUUUACCAAGAACACUUUUAGUUCCUGUUUCCAAUUGAGCCUGCUCCCUGCCUGGGGCCUAGCCUGAUGUACAAGCCCAUUGGCUGGGAUUGCUUAAAUGUCCCACACAAAUAUAAACACCUCUACAGUGUUGGGAAGAUGAAAGGAAUAGCUUAUUGAUAUUGUAUAUGCUAACGUUUGGAUGUGGGACAGGAAAGACAGCACUGAACUGCUGGUAUGCAGUGCUGAAGCUGGGCUGCAUGAAGAGGUUUUCAUUUACUGAUGUUGGAUGUGUGCCCAGACUGCCAUAGUAGAAUUCAGGGAGAGACAUAGAAAGGAGGAGAACCACAGAAUGGUUUUCGUGAACAUCCACGUGGGGCAGAAGAAUAAAUACAUAUGAAGACUAUGUUUCCAGAAAUGAAAGGACUGGCCACUGGGGAACAAUUGGGAGCCCCCUCAAGUCCCACCCUGGUCCUCUUCAUUUGUACUUGAAGGAGUCUAGAGCAAACGUGUCGUUUGUCAAGGAGAGGAAAGGAAAUGUUCAGUGUUUGAGGACCUGCACAGGCCUCUGGGGCCCAUUAAUCGAGGGAGAAGGCAUGAUGCUAUCCCUCACCAUGGUUGCAUUAGAGGAAAUGGCCACUUCUAAAGAAAGUUUAUGACUCGAAAACCUUUUAAAGGUAUGUACAUUGGCUCCCAAAGUAGGUUAUUUUUGAGGGCAGAUACCGUUUCAGUAUUUCUGUAAUCCUGUAGGGUAACAUGAUGCCUUCCACAUAGGAAAUGCCCAAUAAAUGUGUAUUUUAAUUUUGUAAGACA
rnacentral:lncRNA from 12 species